AUUCGGCAAAUAAGCUCAAGCGAACAGGCUUAGUCCAUUGGUUUGAAUGCAUACGAGUUUUAUUUAUAGAGGCUCUAAGGGUUUGGUUUGCAUGAAAUACUAGCCAGGUCACUCUUCUUUGAGAGAAAAAAAAUACAAAACUAAUCCAACCUUUGUUUUUCCAUGGAAUAUAGUUAACUAACGGUACUACUAGUAGUGUCUUAGUAUUUGUUUUCAAGGAAAAAAAAUGAAUUACUGGGGUCCAGCCAAUGCAGUCGUCGCUUGUGAUCGAGGCUCAGCCCAUUCCUAAAACGGGCCGUGGUCUCGUAGACGAGAAUAGAGCUACCACAGCCCAGCCCAGCCCACCGUGGAAAUGGGCUCCCCUCAUCCUCGCUUUGCGUCACGCGACGUGAACCCCCCGGCGGGCGCCGGCGGCUCCUCGCCGACGUCGUCAUCAGUAACGGAAAAGAGCCCACCCGCCACUCGAACGGGCCGGCGAGGCGGCGGCGCCGGCACGUGACGAGUGACAAGGACAAGCUGAUGAAUCCAUCCCGACCGACCAUGCGCGCAUGGUCCUACAUCCUCCGAGCCGCCCGGGGGUGGUGGUGCGGGCAGCCGCGCGCACCACGAAGCACGAUCUGCGGUCCUCAGGCGCGGGCGCGCGGCGGCGUUAAUGGUCGAGCUUCAUGGCGGGGCCGAGGCCGCGCCGCCGCGGGCCAGCACGGUCCCAUUCCCAUGCGUAUGGCGUUCCAAGCUCCAUGGGGACGACGGCGCGCGCGCCAUGGCGAGGAACAUCCAUGCACUGCACGGCCUUCGAUCGGUGUAGUCCCGUCUCGGUCUCGGCCGCGCCGCCACCGCAGCGCCUCCUUGAUUCCGUGCAGUGCAUAGCAAAGCUCAUUCAGGUGCCGGCUUGGUAGGUGACGCUGACGCAGAAGCAGAAGCAGAAGCAGUCAGUCAGGCCAUCGUCGCCCAGUCCGCGGAGGUGAAUUCAGAAGUGAAGGAAAGUGAAGGAAAGGAUCCUACAUUGGAUGAAGCACUUCAAGCCUGCCGUGCUGGUGUCUACAGACAUUCAAGAAAUUUAGUUCUUGUUCUAGGCUGUUUAGUGCUUCUUUUGAUUUUAUGACAAACUGGUAUUCCCAGUAUGGUAUCUGACAUUUGCUUUCUUAAA